rnacentral:rRNA from 1 species
UACGUAGGGGGCAAGCGUUGUCCGGAAUCAUUGGGCGUAAAGAGCGCGUAGGCGGUCCGGUAAGUCCGCUCUGAAAGUCCGGGGCUCAACCCCGGGAGGCGGGCGGAUACUGUCGGGCUAGAGUCCGGAAGAGGCGAGUGGAAUUCCUGGUGUAGCGGUGAAAUGCGCAGAUAUCAGGAAGAACACCUAUGGCGAAGGCAGCACUCUGGGACGGUACUGACGCUGAGACGUGAAAGCGUGGGGAGCGAACAGG